UUUCAUUCGCGGCAAUUAGGAGCCAAUUUCACGCGUCGUUCUCGCAGCGAAACCAUAAAUUUCUCCCGACACUUGUCCGGCUGAAGGCGACUUAAAUGGUUUAAGUCUAAAUACCUUUCAACUUACAUAAACUGUUGCAAUCCCGAGGGCUUAAAGGCAUUUCCAGUUAAGAAAUCAAAGUUAUUUCAUGAGCGGCAAUUUCAAGAGCAGUCAUUGAUUAAGCCAUCAAUCAUAUUAACUUUGACUGCAUGACAAGAUGCAAAUGCCGGCUUUGUACGCUUCUAUAUUGCAUAUAUGCAAAAGAAUCUUCUCUUUGGUAAGAGAGCAAAAGCAAAUCCUCAAAACGGGCCAAAUGUCAACAGGAAUAGAACGGAAGUCGCAUUCGAUGGCAAGAGACAUUUGAUGGCCAUCGGAUCAUUUUUCACUUCAUUCAUAAGCCGGAAAACGUAAUUUAUGAUGGGAAAUUCCUAAGACGGAGCAGCAGGCGAUAAAUUUACAGUUUGCGAAACGUUAUUAAUUGCUAAUUACCUCCGAACAUGAUUAAUGCCCUCCUAGCCGCCGCGUUCAUCUGCAUUUCAGUAUGCUCAUUGAUGUGCCACAUACACAUGGAGGUAAAAUAACAUAGUAUCAAUUACUGCAGCUGGAACUUUCUAAAUGUGGCAUGCAUUUGGUUUUCCAUACUGGAAAAUUGCAGAUCGGUUUCUAAAUGUAUCCUAUUACAUUGAUUGAGAUAUUC